UACGUAGGCAGCGAGCGUUGUUCGGAGUUACUGGGCGUAAAGCGUGCGUAGGCGGUGGUCCAAGUCUGGUGUGAAAUCUCCCGGCUUAACUGGGAGGGUGCGCCGGAAACUGGGCCGCUGGAGUACGGGAGAGGCAAGCGGAAUUCCAGGUGUAGCGGUGAAAUGCGUAGAUAUCUGGAGGAACACCCGUGGUGCAGACGGCUUGCUGGACCGUGACUGACGCUGAGGCACGAAAGCGUGGGUAGCAAACAGGA
rnacentral:rRNA from 1 species